UUAAAAUGCCGGUCCUCGUGCAAUCACCGGAGUUAAGCAACGUAGAGCCUGGUUAGUACCUAGAUGUGUGACCGCUUGGAAAUAACACGUG